rnacentral:rRNA from 1 species
GCAGUCGAACGGAGUUGAGGGGCUUGCUCCUCAAUUUAGUGGCGCACGGGUGAGUAACGCGUAGAUAAUCUGCCUGAUGAUCUGGGAUAACACUUCGAAAGGGGUGCUAAUACCGGAUAAGCCCACGGGGUCUUUGGAUUCUGCGGGAAAAGGGGGGGACCUUCGGGCCUUCUGUCAUCAGAUGAGUCUGCGUACCAUUAGCUAGUUGGUAGGGUAAUGGCCUACCAAGGCUACGAUGGUUAGCUGGUUUGAGAGAAUGAUCAGCCACACUGGAACUGAGACACGGUCCAGACUCCUACGGGAGGCAGCAGUGGGGAAUUUUGCGCAAUGGGCGAAAGCCUGACGCAGCAACGCCGCGUGAGUGAUGAAGGCUUUCGGGUCGUAAAGCUCUGUCGAGGGGAAAGAAGUGUAUUGUGGCUAAUAUCCACGAUACUUGACGGUACCCCUAAAGGAAGCACCGGCUAACUCCGUGCCAGCAGCCGCGGUAAUACGGGGGGUGCAAGCGUUGUUCGGAAUUAUUGGGCGUAAAGAGCGUGUAGGCGGUUUGUUAAGUCUGUUGUGAAAGCCCUGGGCUCAACCCAGGAAGUGCACUGGAUACUGGCAGACUUGAAUACGGGAGAGGGUAGUGGAAUUCCUAGUGUAGGAGUGAAAUCCGUAGAUAUUAGGAGGAACACCGGUGGCGAAGGCGGCUACCUGGACCGAUAUUGACGCUGAGACGCGAAAGCGUGGGUAGCAAACAGGAUUAGAUACCCUGGUAGUCCACGCCGUAAACGAUGAGAACUAGGUGUUGCGGGUAUUGACCCCUGCAGUGCCGCAGCUAACGCAUUAA